rnacentral:rRNA from 1 species
CGGGAAGCCUGCUCCAAGAUUAGGAUUCCAUGGAUCUUCGAGAUCCUGUAGCCCGCAUGUUGAACACGUGUUUGAUAGGCCGGAGGUGGAAGCCCCGUGAGGGGUGGAGCCGACCGGUACUAACGGGCGACGGCGACA